rnacentral:rRNA from 1 species
GAUGAACGCUAGCGGCAGGCUUAACACAUGCAAGUCGAGGGGCAACACGGGUAGCAAUACCUGGUGGCGACCGGCGCAAGGGUGCGUAACGCGUGAGCAACAUGCCCUAUACAGGGGGAUAAUCCAGGGAAACUUGGUCUAAUAUCCCAUAGUAUUUAGAGGUGGCAUCACCACUAAAUUAAAGCUUCGGUGGUAUAGGAUUGGCUCGCGUGACAUUAGCUAGAUGGUGGGGUAACGGCUCACCAUGGCUAUGAUGUCUAGGGGUUCUGAGAGGAAGACCCCCCACACUGGGACUGAGACACGGCCCAGACUCCUACGGGAGGCAGCAGUGAGGAAUAUUGGACAAUGGAUGGAAAUCUGAUCCAGCCAUGCCGCGUGCAGGAAGACGGCCCUAGUGGGUUGUAAACUGUCUUUUAUAUGGGAGCAAUAAGGUCUACGAGUAGACCGAUGAGAGUACCAUAUGAAUAAGCAUCGGCUAACUCCG